GAUUAUUUAUUUUUCUUAAAUUUUGUAAUCUAAUUGAUAAAUUACAAAACAGAUUAAUUUUAGUUUUUCAAAAAGUUACAAUAUUUUUUUAUUAAUUUACACUUACCUUUAUCCAUUAAAUUGACCUAUUUAUGCAUUAGCUAUAAUAACUAGGUAAGAAACUACACAUUUAAUUUAAAGUUUAGGCUUUAAACUUACUUACCAUUUACAA
rnacentral:misc_RNA from 1 species